GAUGAACGCUGGCGGCGUGCCUAAUACAUGCAAGUCGAGCGAACGGACGUGAAUCUUGCUUCGCUCAGGUUAGCGGCGGACGGGUGAGUGACAUGUGGAUAACCUCCCUAUCUGGCUGGGAUAACUUCGGGAACCCGGGGCUAAUAGCGGAAGAUAUUAUGAACCGCAGGGUUCAAAAGCGAAAGACGGUCUUGCUGGCACUGAUAGAUGGUACCGCGCUGCUUUAGAGAGUUGGUAAGGUAACGACUUUCCAAGGCAACGAUGCAUAGCCGACCUGAGGGAUUGAUCGGCGCUACUGGAACUGAGACACGGGCCAGACUGCUACUGGAGGACGGAGUAGGGAAUCUCGGGCGACGGGAGAAAGCAUGACGCAGCAACGGCGCGUGGGUUAAGAAGGCAUUCGGAUCGUAAAGCUCUGUUACUAGGGAAGAACAACUGUGUAAGUAACUGUGGACGCCAUGACGGUACCUAAGCAGAAAGCAACGGCUAACUACGUG
rnacentral:rRNA from 1 species